rnacentral:rRNA from 1 species
CCUACGGGAGGCAGCAGUGGGGAAUAUUGCACAAUGGGCGAAACCCUGAUGCAGCGACGCCGCGUGAGUGAAGAAGUAAUUCGUUAUGUAAAGCUCUAUCAGCAGGGAAGAAAAUGACGGUACCUGAGUAAGAAGCCCCGGCUAACUACGUGCCGGCAGCCGAGGUAAUACGUAGGGGGCAAGGGUUAUCCGGAUUUAUUGGGUUUAAAGGGUGCGUAGGCGGAUCGUUAAGUCAGUGGUAAAAUUGAGGGGCUCAACCCCUUCCCGCAAUUGAUACUGGCGCUCUUGAGUGGAAGAGAAGUAGGCGGAAUGCGUGGUGUAGCGGUGAAAUGCAUAGAUAUCAUGCAGAACCCCGAUUGCGAAGGCAGCAUGCCGACUUCCGACUGACGCUGAAGCACGAAAGCGUGGGGAUCGAACAGGAUUAGAUACCCUUGUAGUC